AUUGAACGCUGGCGGCAGGCCUAACACAUGCAAGUCGAACGAGCGGCGGACGGGUGAGUAAUGUAUGGGGAACUGCCCGAUGGAGGGGGAUAACUACUGGAAACGGUAGCUAAUACCGCAUACUAUCGGAUGUACCCAGAUGGGAUUAGCUAGUAGGUGGGGUAACGGCUCACCUAGGCGACGAUCCCUAGCUGGUCUGAGAGGAUGAUCAGCCACACUGGAACUGAGACACGGCCCAGACUCCUACGGGAGGCAGCAGUGGGGAAUAUUGCACAAUGGGCGCAAGCCUGAUGCAGCCAUGCCGCGUGUAGGAAGAAGGCCUUAGGGUUGUAAAGUACUUUCAGCGGGGAGGCGUUACUCGCAGAAGAAGCACCGGCUAACUCCGUGCCAGCAGCCGCGGUAAUUC
rnacentral:rRNA from 1 species